rnacentral:rRNA from 1 species
CCUACGGGGGGCUGCAGUGGGGAAUAUUGGACAAUGGGCGCAAGCCUGAUCCAGCAAUGCCGCGUGUGUGAAGAAGGCCUGCGGGUUGUAAAGCACUUUAAGCAGGAAAGAAGGGCGGAGCGAUAAUACCGUUUCGCAUUGACGUUACCUGCAGAAUAAGCACCGGCUAACUCCGUGCCAGCAGCCGCGGUAAUACGGCGGGUGCGAGCGUUAAUCGGAAUGCCUGUGGGUGAUGUGAGCAUUCGGUGGUGAAAGCCCUGGGCUUAACCUGGGAACUGCGGUGGAUACUGUCGGGCUAGAGUGUGGUAGAGGGGAGUGGAAUUUCCGGUGUAGCAGUGAAAUGCGUAGAGAUCGGAAGGAACACCAGUGGCGAAGGCGGCUCCCUGGACCAACACUGACGCUGAGGUGCGAAAGCGUGGGGAGCAAACAGGAUUAGAUACCCUAGUAGUC